AUUGAACGCUGGCGGCAGGCCUAACACAUGCAAGUCGAACGGUAGCACAGAGAGCUUGCUCUCGGGUGACGAGUGGCGGACGGGUGAGUAAUGUCUGGGAAACUGCCUGAUGGAGGGGGAUAACUACUGGAAACGGUAGCUAAUACCGCAUAACGUCGCAAGACCAAAGAGGGGGACCUUCGGGCCUCUUGCCAUCAGAUGUGCCCAGAUGGGAUUAGCUAGUAGGUGGGGUAACGGCUCACCUAGGCGACGAUCCCUAGCUGGUCUGAGAGGAUGACCAGCCACACUGGAACUGAGACACGGUCCAGACUCCUACGGGAGGCAGCAGUGGGGAAUAUUGCACAAUGGGCGCAAGCCUGAUGCAGCCAUGCCGCGUGUAUGAAGAAGGCCUUCGGGUUGUAAAGUACUUUCAGCGGGGAGGAAGGUGUUGUGGUUAAUAACCACAGCAAUUGACGUUACCCGCAGAAGAAGCACCGGCUAACUCCGUGCCAGCAGCCGCGGUAAUACGGAGGGUGCAAGCGUUAAUCGGAAUUACUGGGCGUAAAGCGCACGCAGGCGGUCUGUCAAGUCGGAUGUGAAAUCCCCGGGCUCAACCUGGGAACUGCAUUCGAAACUGGCAGGCUAGAGUCUUGUAGAGGGGGGUAGAAUUCCAGGUGUAGCGGUGAAAUGCGUAGAGAUCUGGAGGAAUACCGGUGGCGAAGGCGGCCCCCUGGACAAAGACUGACGCUCAGGUGCGAAAGCGUGGGGAGCAAACAGGAUUAGAUACCCUGGUAGUCCACGCCGUAAACGAUGUCGACUUGGAGGUUGUGCCCUUGAGGCGUGGCUUCCGGAGCUAACGCGUUAAGUCGACCGCCUGGGGAGUACGGCCGCAAGGUUAAAACUCAAAUGAAUUGACGGGGGCCCGCACAAGCGGUGGAGCAUGUGGUUUAAUUCGAUGCAACGCGAAGAACCUUACCUACUCUUGACAUCCAGAGAACUUAGCAGAGAUGCUUUGGUGCCUUCGGGAACUCUGAGACAGGUGCUGCAUGGCUGUCGUCAGCUCGUGUUGUGAAAUGUUGGGUUAAGUCCCGCAACGAGCGCAACCCUUAUCCUUUGUUGCCAGCGGUCCGGCCGGGAACUCAAAGGAGACUGCCAGUGAUAAACUGGAGGAAGGUGGGGAUGACGUCAAGUCAUCAUGGCCCUUACGAGUAGGGCUACACACGUGCUACAAUGGCGCAUACAAAGAGAAGCGAACUCGCGAGAGCAAGCGGACCUCAUAAAGUGCGUCGUAGUCCGGAUUGGAGUCUGCAACUCGACUCCAUGAAGUCGGAAUCGCUAGUAAUCGUAGAUCAGAAUGCUACGGUGAAUACGUUCCCGGGCCUUGUACACACCGCCCGUCACACCAUGGGAGUGGGUUGCAAAAGAAGUAGGUAGCUUAACCUUCGGGAGGGCGCUUACCACUUUGUGAUUCAUGACUGGGGUGAAGUCGUAACAAGGUAACCGUAGGGGAACCUGCGGUUGGAUCACCUCCUUA
rnacentral:rRNA from 2 species